CUUCUUAUUGCUAUACAACUUAAUUUUACUUGUAUUAAUAUAAAUGCUUUAGAAAUCUCUUUAUAAAGGAAUAGGUUUUUUUUACCAAUCAUGUGCUCCAAAAUAAGGUUCCAUCCCACGAUGAAAGCCCAAAAUUCGCCGAUACAGACGUACGUGUAGACAUAAGCACUGCCUGCUUUUGGCACUCGAGUGGCGAGCUCGGCGUAACAGAGUGCCGCCAAAAUGGAAGCCAAACCAGCCACGAGAAAGCUGAAGAUUACACCAGGUCCAGCCGUGUCAUGUGCAACCGUUCCCGUCAGCACGUAAAUUCCGGCACCGACCAUGUGACCCACACCUGGAAGCGUAAUCAAUUAAUAUUAAUCAGUGUCUUUUGCAGGAUCAAUUUUAUUCAAGUCGCAAACAUCCGCGUAUAUUAUAUAAAGGAAUGAAAAGUAUAUUCACCAAGCAACGUGAUGUCAAAGGUAGAAAGACAUCUCUUCAUUGGAGUCUCAAGCAUGUCACCGUCCAAUUUCUUUCGGCGGUUCAUCUUAUUGUACAAACCGGAUACAACGUGGCCCAGGAUCAUCCUUCGAACUGACGGCAUAAUGGAUAUCCUACGAUGCAGGAGGCAAUAUCCUGUGAAAUUUCAAUUUCCAGUUAUCGACGUGUUGAGACAAAUGUCAUCCUUAUUCAAGAAACAAUCAUUUAUUGAA